rnacentral:misc_RNA from 1 species
GUAUAUUUAUUAGGUACAAAAAUGACCUGAUUCAACAUUCUAAACACAUUUGAGGUUGUGAAAAAACGACAUAGACCCAGAAAAGCAAAAGGCAAAGCAGACUUUCUUUCUGUUAAAAGCACUGCAGUGCCAACUCGAAAUGAAUCAAUGACUCCAGGUCUACAAUAUGUUCACAGUUGGAAAAAUAAAGAUGACAAGCGUGCACAUGCCCCUAGAGACCAGCAACAGCCUGUUCAAGUUUAUUCAAUAAUGAUCCUUCCGCAGGUUCACCUACGGAAA